UUGGUUUCUUAGCGGCGGACGGGUGAGUAACGCGUGGGAACGUGCCCUUGGGUAAGGAACAACAGUUGGAAACGACUGCUAAUACCUUAUGAUCCUCUUCGGAGGCAAAGAUUUAUCGCCCAGGGAUCGGCCCGCGUUGGAUUAGGUAGUUGGUGGGGUAAUGGCCUACCAAGCCGACGAUCCAUAGCUGGUUUGAGAGGAUGAUCAGCCACACUGGGACUGAGACACGGCCCAGACUCCUACGGGAGGCAGCAGUGGGGAAUCUUGGACAAUGGGGGCAACCCUGAUCCAGCCAUGCCGCGUGAGCGAUGAAGGCCUUAGGGUUGUAAAGUUCUUUCAGCAGGGAAGAUAAUGACGGUACCUGCAGAAGAAGCCCCGGCUAACUCCGUGCCAGCAGCCGCGGUAAUACGGAGGGGGCUAGCGUUGUUCGGAAUUACUGGGCGUAAAGCGCGCGUAGGCGGAUUGUUAAGUCGGGGGUGAAAUCCCGGGGCUCAACCCCGGAACUGCCUCCGAUACUGGCAGUCUAGAGGUCGAGAGAGGUGAGUGGAAUUCCGAGUGUAGAGGUGAAAUUCGUAGAUAUUCGGAGGAACACCAGUGGCGAAGGCGGCUCACUGGCUCGAUUCUGACGCUGAGGUGCGAAAGCAUGGGGA
rnacentral:rRNA from 1 species